rnacentral:lncRNA from 10 species
ACCAUACCUGCCUGAAAGGGGCAGCAGGUUUGCUGAUAAUUAGCAACAUUUGAGUGAAAAAAACACAGACAAUAGGUCUGCAUGUUUAACCGCAUCUAAUGGCUGGUUUGUUUUAAGUGGGUGGUGAGUAAAAGAGUUAACAUUAAUCAUCAUAGAAAUGGUAUUAAUGAGCAAAGAUAUGACCGGCCUCACACCUGUAAUCCCAGCACUUUGGGAGGCCAAGGCAGGAGGAUCCCUUGAGCCCAGGAGGUCAAGGCUGCUGUGAGCUGUGAUCACACCACUGCAUUCCAGCCUGGGAACAGAGUGGACCCUGUCUCAAAUAAGCAAAGACAUUCUAAUUAAAGCAAUAAUAAUGUUCCAUUUUUCCUAGUCAUUUCUGGAAGGAGUGUCUGUACACUCAUUUUUUGGAGGGUAAUUUGACAUUUCUCUCUCAAACUUAACACAAGGGUUAGGACCCCAAGGUUCCACUUGUAGGAAUCCUACAGGAAAUAGGCCAGCAUUUCAGAAAGAUGUGCACUGCAGUGAUACAACGUUGAAAACACUAAAUGCCUAAAAGUAGUGAGGCGGUUACAUGUGUUAGAACACACACUUUGUGGAGUAAGAGUGUUCUGGGCCCCUCGGAGAGCAGUCUGUGACACAUUGGGUGAAAACAGCAGCUUUUGCAGAAGAACGGUGACCCCAGGCGAAGCUGAGUGUGGUUGUAAAUGCUGCUCUGGAAAGCAGAUAUCCAGGGGUGACAUCGGGGGUGCCUGUGGGGAAAGGGUGGUCACGCCUCACUGAACAGAGACUUUGGCUUUUAUUCUGCACAUUUCUGUAUUAUUUUAUGUUCCACACCAAGAAUGCAUUGUUUGUAGGUAUAAGGAGAAAAGUGCCCUUAAGAAAAGGUAAAGAGGGAGUUCUAGCAACUCGAAGGAGGAAGGUUUUUCUCUCCGUGCACCCCUAAUAGUGACUCAGCACUGCUUAGCACCCCACCUUCUGUUGUGCUCCGGUU